rnacentral:rRNA from 1 species
CAAUAAGCGGAGGAAAAGAAACAAACAUGGAUAGCCCCAGUAACGGCGAGUGAAGCGGCUACAGCUCAAAUUUGAAAUCUGGCCUUUUCGGGGGUCCGAGUUGUAAUUUGCAGAGGAUGCUUUGGCGUUGGCGGCGGUCUAAGUUCCUUGGAACAGGACAUCGCAGAGGGUGAGAAUCCCGUACGUGGGCGCCUGCCUUCGCCGUGUAAAGCUCCUUCGACGAGUCGAGUUGUUUGGGAAUGCAGCUCUAAAUGGGAGGUAAAUUUCUUCUAAAGCUAAAUACCGGCCAGAGACCGAUAGCGCACAAGUAGAGUGAUCGAAAGAUGAAAAGUACUUUGGAAAGAGAGUCAAACAGCACGUGAAAUUGUUGAAAGGGAAGCGCUUGCAGCCAGACUUGCCCGCAGUUGCUCACCCGGGCUCCGGCCUGGGGCACUCUUCUGCGGGCAGGCCAGCAUCGGUUCGGGCGGUCGGAUAAAGGUCUCUGUCAAGUACCACCCUCCGGGGUGGCCUUAUAGGGGAGGCGCAAUGCGACCAGCCCGGACCGAGGUCCGCGCAUCUGCCAGGAUGCUGGCGUAAUGGCUGUAAGCGGCCCGUCUUGAAACACGGACCAAGGAGUCUAACAUCUAUGCGAGUGUUUGGGUGUCAAGCCCGGGCGCGCAAUGAAAGUGAACGGAGGUGGGAACCCCUCGGGGCGCACCAUCGACCGAUCCUGAUGUCUUCGGAUGGAUUUGAGUAAGAGCAUAGCUGUUGGGACCCGAAAGAUGGUGAACUAUGCUUGAAUAGGGUGAAGCCAGAGGAAACUCUGGUGGAGGCUCGCAGCGGUUCUGACGUGCAAAUCGAUCGUCAAAUUUGGGCAUAGGGGCGAAAGACUAAUCGAA